rnacentral:rRNA from 1 species
AGAGUUUGAUCAUGGCUCAGAACGAACGCUGGCGGCAGGCCUAACACAUGCAAGUCGAACGAUAAGCCACCUUCGGGUGGUGGACAGUGGCAGACGGGUGAGUAACGCGUGGGAACGUGCCUUUCGGUUCGGAAUAACCCAGGGAAACUUGGGCUAAUACCGGAUACGCCCUUCGGGGGAAAGAUUCAUUGCCGAAAGAUCGGCCCGCGUCGGAUUAGCUAGUUGGUGGGGUAAUGGCUCACCAAGGCGACGAUCCGUAGCUGGUCUGAGAGGAUGACCAGCCACACUGGGACUGAGACACGGCCCAGACUCCUACGGGAGGCAGCAGUGGGGAAUAUUGGACAAUGGGCGCAAGCCUGAUCCAGCCAUGCCGCGUGGGUGAAGAAGGCCUUAGGGUUGUAAACCCCUUUCAGCGGGGAAGAUAAUGACGGUACCCGCAGAAGAGC